UACAGAGGUCCCAAGCGUUGUUCGGAUUCACUGGGCGUAAAGGGUGCGUAGGCGGUCGGAUAAGUCUGAUGUGAAAUCUUCGAGCUCAACUCGGAAACUGCAUCGGAAACUAUUCGGCUAGAGGAUUGGAGGGGAGACUGGAAUUCUCGGUGUAGCAGUGAAAUGCGUAGAUAUCGAGAGGAACACCAGUGGCGAAGGCGAGUCUCUGGACAGUUCCUGACGCUGAGGCACGAAGGUCAGGGGAGCAAACGGG
rnacentral:rRNA from 1 species